rnacentral:rRNA from 1 species
GAUGAACGCUGGCGGCGUGCCUAAUACAUGCAAGUCGAGCGAACGGACGAGAAGCUUGCUUCUCUGAUGUUAGCGGCGGACGUGUGAGUAACACGUGUAUAACCUACCUAUAAGACUGGGAUAACUUCGGGAAACCGGAGCUAAUACCGGAUAAUCUUUUGAACCGCAUGGUUCAAAAGUGAAAGACGGUCUUGCUGUCACUUCUAGAUGGAUCCGCGCUGCAUUAGCUAGUUGGUAAGGUAACGGCUUACCAAGGCAACGAUGCAUAGCCGACCUGAGAGGGUGAUCGGCCACACUGGAACUGAGACACGGUCCAGACUCCUACGGGAGGCAGCAGUAGGGAAUCUUCCGCAAUGGGCGAAAGCCUGACGGAGCAACGCCGCGUGAGUGAUGAAGGUCUUCGGAUCGUAAAACUCUGUUAUUAGGGAAGAACAUAUGUGUAAGUAACUGUGCACAUCUUGACGGUACCUAAUCAGAAAGCCACGGCUAACUACGUG